ensembl:lncRNA
ACCAGAAGGCCCCUGAGAUCUCCCUGUGUGGGCCUCAGGCCAAGUCCCGCCCCAGUCAGGGAAUUGGGAUCCCCCAGAACGCCUGGAAGAUGUCCCCCACUCUCCCACCUCCAGUGCCUGGCCCAGGGCUGGCACACUGCAGGAGCUCAACUCUCUUCUGCGUGGAUGUUGGCAGCCUGGGUUCAUGGACGAAGAAGGUCUUAUAAAAGCAGAAGUGCCAGGCAGAGGCCCAGCACAGCUGGAAAAGGGCCCUUGGCCUGACCCAGUUCUCGUCUAGGAAAUGGCACCUCCUCAGGCUUGUGGUUACGACUGUCCCAGCCCAAUCGGCCUUGGACCACCAGGGGCUGAGCCGUAGUUUGACCAAGUCGGGAUGACUGGUGCUUUGCAACGAAGGAGACCACACACCAGCAGACCCACGGAGCAUCUCACCAGACAGAAGAGAAGAGAGUUCCUAUGGUAUUGGGGGGAAGAGUGGAGGUUAGGUGAAAUGUCAAUGAAACAUUUUUCUUUCUAUAGCCUCAAAACACAGGAGGAUGUGCACGAAGGUCUGGGCCAUGAAGUGUACCCGGUGUUCUGCUUUCCUUGGAAGCUAAAACUUAAGAGUCACGUCAUGGACGAAUUCAACUGAGGAUUUGCAAACAAAAAAUAAAGAGAAAGAGAAAUGAUUUCAACGUGGACGGGCAGUUCACCCCUUGCUAUUCCUGGACUGAGUGUGAGGUGGGAGGUGCGACUCUGCUGGGCUCUCCGCCAGUCUCAGCUCCUGGCUGCCUCUUAAAAGGUUUCAGGAGGAAAUUAUUAGCCCUGCUUCCUGGUUAACCUGCAAACACACUCAGAGGCCACAUGCAAAGACUGAGUACCUGACUGUCCGGCCUAACCAGGCAGGAGGGCAAUGGAGAGAGACUUUGGCAUCAGACAGACCUGAGCUGGAAUGCUGGCUCUGCCACUGCUGGCUAGGUGGCUUCAUCUGAAGAAACGGUGACCAGCACGGCUGGGCCGCUUACAAAGGAUUUCUUUUGAAAACCACCGCUUCCGAACGGAGACUGAAGGAGCGGCGAGAAGACGAACGAGGAGUUUUAGCGACAGAGCCAACACCGGGCACCGCGAGGGGGCGCCAGAUGAGAGGGCGAGUUCAAAGGCGGCCUCGACAAGUCCUAGACCCGAUGGCAGUGAGGAGUGAGGGGACCGGGCACCCGGCGGCCGGACAGCGCAUUUGGGCUUCCAGAACCUCGUGCAGAUGACGGGGCUCCCCGGCUCCUUCGCUCUCCCGAGCCCCCGUCUUCUCUCCCAGUUCCCACCCAGAACCGGUCAGCACUCAGCAACACCGGGCAGGGAACACCAAUCACAGGCAAUCCUCUGGUCCUGCUUUGUGCUCAAGCUCCAGAAGCAGAGCAUCGUGCACUCGAUCUGUGGAAGGUCCUGGGCCCGAUGGAGGGAUCCGUGCUAAGUUGGAGGACCUUGCUCCGUGGCUGCCUCUGGGCGACCGAGUUUCCUUGGCGGGAAAGGAAGUUGUCCUCGAACAGUUCAGGUCCUAAAAGAACACUAUCCCUGGCCCUCCGCCUACCUCGCUGUGUGGCUUAGGAUAAAUGAGCUAUUCUCUCUAGGUCUGUUGCUCCACCUAUAAAAUGAAUGAGUGAGAUAAAAGGGUCUCUACAGUCCCUCGUUUAUCCUGGCCCUGCAAACCCAGGAUCAGCGUCAGUGUCGCUUGGAGUGAUGUCAGUGCUCUUACCCUGGCUAGGGCCGUGUGAAGCUUUUCAAGCAAUAACAUGCACAGCAGCCAGGCCACAAUCAUCUGGGGGAACUGAUGCACAGGAAAAAGAAAAAUGGGACUUGUUCAUCGAUCUACAGAGGAACCAGUGCAGACCAGAGGCUCCAGUGGCACCUCCCCAAGGAAGUGGCCUUCUCCUGCCCAACACUGAGAGGACAUUUGAAGUUUGGGGAGCCCCUCUCAGCACUCAGAGUCAGCAGGAAUGUACCUGACCACCCUCUGCACCUGACCUGCCUCCCCAGGCCUGCCACCUGCUGGCAUUCUUUUGCAGAGGUUUGUCUUCCCAGAUAGGUCAUGCUCCAUUGAGCAUCAAAGCCCCACCAAGAAAAACAUCUGUAAGUCCAGGAGAGUAUCUGCGAGGCAUCUGAAGUCAGACUGUCUAGGCUCAGACCCUGGCUUUUCCCUCUGUGACUGUGUGAUCUGGGCUCAUGAUUAAACUUCCACUAGCCCCAUCGGUGUACUGGGCAUUGUCACAGCACAUACCUCAUAGAUUGUUGAAAGGAUGAAAUUAAAUGAUGCAUAUAACUUGCUUGCAUUGUGCCUGGCAGAGUCAUGAAGUAAG